rnacentral:rRNA from 1 species
ACGAUGAAGGCCUUUUUGGUUGUAAAGUUCUUUUACGAGGGAUAAUUAUGAUAGUACUUCGUGAAUAAGUGACAGCAAACUAUGUGCCAGCAGCUGCGGUAAUACAUAGGUCGCGAGCAUUAUUCGGAUUUAUUGGGCGUAAAGCAAGCGCAGGCGGAUGUGUAAGUUCUGUGUUAAAUGCAGCUACUCAAUAGUUGUAUGCACCGAAUACUACAUGUCUAGAUUGUGGUAGGGAGUUUCGGAAUUAAGCAUGGAGCGGUGGAAUGUGUAGAUAUGCUUAAGAACACCAGAGGCGAAGGCGGAAACUUAGGCCAUAAAUGACGCUUAGGCUUGAAAGUGUGGGGAGCAAAUGGGAUUAGAUACCCCAGUAGUCCACACCGUAAACGAUGGGUAUUAGAUAUUAGGGCUUUAGCUUUAGUGUUGUAGCUUACGCGUUAAAUACCCCGCCUGGGUAGUACAUAUGCAAAUAUGAAACUCAAAGGAAUUGACGGGGACCUGAACAAGUGGUGGAGCAUGUUGCUUAAUUCGAUAAUACACGAAAAACCUUACCAAGGUUUGACAUCCCUCGCAAAGCUAUAGAAAUAUAGUGGAGGUUAUCGAGGUGACAGGUGGUGCAUGGCUGUCGUCAGCUCGUGUCUUGAGAUGUUUGGUUAAGUCCCGCAACGAGCGCAACCCCACUCUUUAGUUACUUUUCUAAAGAGACUGCACAGUAAUGUAGAGGAAGGAUGGGAUCACGUCAAGUCAUCAUGCCCCUUAUGCCUUGGGCUGCAAACGUGCUACAAUGGCGAACACAAUGUGUUGCAAACCAGCGAUGGUAAGCUAAUCACCAAAUUUCGUCUCAGUUCGGAUAGGAGGCUGCAAUUCGCCUCCUUGAAGUUGGAAUCACUA